AACUGCUCUUCUGAAGAUGCAUCAGUACGGACACGCAGGGAUGUUGCAUCAUCUCACACUCUAUCGUAUGGACCAAUCAGAAGGCUCAAAACUGACAUGGAGAAUACUAGCCCCAAUUCGAAUGUGCCUCCUGUGGAAACCUUUGUAUUGGGUGGUCUGCUGUUCAUCCUGAUUGUCAUAACAGGAGUUUUUGGGAAACUCUGGCUCCAGAGCAGGAACUUGUAUCCAACCCAAGAGGCCCAGCUCACUCUCUCCAACAUCCACCACAUCUCAGAGGUGGCCAGCUAACCUGAGAUCUCAUUUACACACAGUGUUGUGUCAAAUAUGUUCAGUUUGAAAGCGUUGUCUAACCUAUAGUGUAUUUUUUUUUAUAGUAGUUGUUCUUUUUGUCUUUUAUUGUGAAAUAAAUAAAAAUGCUUUUUGAUUUC